GACGAACGCUGGCGGCGUGCUUAACACAUGCAAGUCGAACGGAAAGGCCCUGCUUUUGUGGGGUGCUCGAGGGGCGAACGGGUGAGUAACACGUGAGUAACCUGCCCUUGACUUUGGGAUAACUUCAGGAAACUGGGGCUAAUACCGGAUAGGAGCUCCUGCUGCAUGGUGGGGGUUGGAAAGUUUCGGCGGUUGGGGAUGGACUCGCGGCUUAUCAGCUUGUUGGUGGGGUAGUGGCUUACCAAGGCUUUGACGGGUAGCCGGCCUGGGAGGGUGACCGGCCACAUGGGGACUGAGAGACGGCCCAGACUCCUACGGGAGGCAGCAGGGGGGAAUAUUGCACAAUGGGCGGAAGCCUGAGGCAGCAACGCCGCGUGCGGGAUGACGGCCUGUGGGUUGUAAACCGCUUUCGCCUGUGACGAAGCGUGAGUGACGGUAAUGGGUAAAGAAGCACCGGCUAACUACGUG
rnacentral:rRNA from 1 species